AUGUCAUCUGGAGUCCCUCAAACGCUUCAGCAGGGCUUUCUCAGCUUAAGCCUGGAGAUAAGCAUGUCCUCACUGAAGUGUUUGGGGGAACUCUGGGUGUCAC
rnacentral:pre_miRNA from 1 species